AUCUAGCUGACGAGUUGUAAAUAAGACGAAUAGUACGUUCUGGAU
rfam:Schistosoma mattheei strain Denwood, Zambia genome assembly, scaffold: SMTD_scaffold0001483